CCUACGGGAGGCAGCAGGGGGGAAUAUUGCACAAUGGGGGAAACCCUGAGGCGGCGACGCCGCGUGAGGGAUGAAGUAUUUGGGUAUGUAAAGCUCUAUCAGCAGGGAAGAAAAUGAAGGUACCUGACUAAGAAGCCCCGGCUAACUACGGGCCAGCAGCCGUGGUAACACGUAGGGGGCAAGCGUUAUCCGGAUUUACUGGGUGUAAAGGGAGCGUAGACGGCGGUGCAAGCCAGAUGUGAAAGCCCGGGGCUCAACCCCGGGAGUGCAUUUGGAACGGUAUGACUGGAGUGUCGGAGAGGCAGGCGGAAUUCCUGGUGUAGCGGUGAAAUGCGUAGAUAUUAGGAGGAACACCAGUGGCGAAGGCGGCCUGCUGGACGAUGACUGACGUUGAGGCUCGAAAGCGUGGGGAGCAAACAGGAUUAGAUACCCUUGUAGUC
rnacentral:rRNA from 1 species